rnacentral:rRNA from 1 species
AACGAACGCUGGCGGCAUGCCUAACACAUGCAAGUCGAACGAGACCUUCGGGUCUAGUGGCGCACGGGUGCGUAACGCGUGGGAACCUGCCUUUAGGUUCGGAAUAACUCAGAGAAAUUUGAGCUAAUACCGGAUGAUGUCUUCGGACCAAAGAUUUAUCGCCUUUAGAUGGGCCCGCGUUGGAUUAGCUAGUUGGUGGGGUAAAGGCCUACCAAGGCGACGAUCCAUAACUGGUCUGAGAGGAUGAUCAGCCACACUGGGACUGAGACACGGCCCAGACUCCUACGGGAGGCAGCAGUGGGGAAUAUUGGACAAUGGGCGAAAGCCUGAUCCAGCAAUGCCGCGUGAGUGAUGAAGGCCUUAGGGUUGUAAAGCUCUUUUACCCGAGAUGAUAAUGACAGUAUCGGGAGAAUAAGCUCCGGCUAACUCCGUG